GCCCUCUAUAGCUAUGGAUGACCCACGAUAGCUAUAGGCCUACUGAAGCCCAAGAUAGCCCACUAUAGCUAUCAACAUGGGUCAUUAUAGCCACAUAGACCAUUAUAGCCAAUAGGAACUAAUCCCUAGGAGAUCAUGCAUCGCCAACAGAAGUUGGCAACGAAUACAAAAGGAGAGUAGACUCAUCCUGAAUAAAUAAGAGAUGCACUGGAUUAUACAUCAAAAAGAGCCUCAAUGAGAGA
rnacentral:lncRNA from 1 species